rnacentral:rRNA from 1 species
AUACGGAGGGUGCGAGCGUUGUUCGGAAUCAUUGGGCGUAAAGAGCGUGUAGGCGGCGGGGUGUGUCUGAUGUGAAAGCCCGGAGCUCAACUCCGGAAGUGCAUUGGAAACUGCCUCGCUUGAGUCCCGGAGAGGGUAGUGGAAUUCCUGGUGUAGAGGUGAAAUUCGUAGAUAUCAGGAGGAACACCGGUGGCGAAGGCGACUACCUGGACGGAGACUGACGCUGAGACGCGAAAGCGUGGGGAGCAAACAGGAUUAGAUACCCUAGUAGUCC